rnacentral:rRNA from 1 species
GAUGAACGCUGGCGGCGUGCUUAACACAUGCAAGUCGAACGGAGUCCAGCCUUUAAGACCUUCGGGUCAAAGAGGGGAAGACUGAGUGGCGGACGGGUGAGUAACACGUGGGCAACCUGGCUCAUAGAGGGGGAUAACAGAGAGAAAUUUCUGCUAAUACCGCAUAAGCACACACUGCCGCAUGGCAGAGUGUGAAAAGAGAAUCGCUAUGAGAUGGACCCGCGUCUGAUUAGCCAGUUGGCAGGGUAAGAGCCUACCAAAGCGACGAUCAGUAGCCGAGCAGAGAGGAUGAACGGCCACAUUGGGACUGAGACACGGCCCAAACUCCUACGGGAGGCAGCAGUGGGGGAUAUUGCACAAUGGGGGGAACGCUGAUGCAGCGACGCCGCGUGAGUGAAGAAGUAUUUCGGUAUGUAAAGCUCUAUCAGCAGGGAAGAUAAUGACAGUACCUGAAGAAGAAGCCCCGGCUAACUACGUG